UUGCACUUUACGUUUAAGAGCGGAGGUGCUUCUGCGUCUCUCCAUGCGCGCACUGACGGGCCGCACCUCCGUACGGGUGGACACGGUAUGGGGAGACAUGCUCACUUGCAGUGCUGAAGUCGGCCAGUGGCUCUCCCUGAGACGGGCUGCUAACCCAUUUGGAGAAGGUGCUGAAUUUGGGAUAGUCUCUCAGCACUGGGGUUUAUUAGAUUUUUAGGAGGCGGAAUGGGUAGUACAGAGGGAUUUACCAUGUUAUAGUCAACGUACAGUUUCCCCGGCCAUCGAAAAGAGGGUAUUUUGGCUGAGUGUAGGCGAGAGGGUUCGGCAGUUUCCUUCCGUUCUGCAGCUGCACUUUUCCAGGUGUCAGAGUAAGUUUGUACUGAUGGAGAAACCGACGCAGCCUCAGCACCAGGCGGCAAUGGCAAAGAACACAGAAAGUCAAUCCGAGGACCUGUCCAAACUGUCGGAUGAGGAUUUAAUGAAGUCGAGUAAGGAGGACUUAGUUCGCCGGCUGAGGAGAGCCGAAGCCGAUAAAAUGAGUGCCAUUCUGGACCACGGGAACCUCAUCCGAGAAGUGAACCGAAGGCUUCAGCAGCAUCUUAAUGAGAUUCGCGGGUUGAAGGAUAUCAACCAGAAGCUGCAGGAGGACAACCAGGAGCUCCGCGACCUCUGCUGCUUCCUGGACGACGACCGGCAGAAGGGCAAGAAGGUGUCGCGGGAGUGGCAGCGGCUAGGCCGCUACAGCGCGGGCAUCAUGCGCAAGGAGGUGACGCUCUACCUGCAGAAGCUGAAGGAGCUGGAGCAGCGUCAAGAGGAGGUGAUCAAGGAGAACCUGGAGCUCAAGGAGCUCUGCCUCAUGCUGGACGAGGAGAAAGGAGGUGGUGUUGGCGGCGGCGGCGGUGGUGGUGGUGUCGGUGUCGGGGGAGGCCUGGGGGGUCAGCAGGGGAGCAUGCUGGGCGGAGGCACGGGCGUGGCCGGGUGUCGGAACUCCAUCGAUAGCCAGAGCAGCCUGUCGCACAUGACGGCGCCGGGGCCAGGGCUGCUGAGGGACGUGGGCGAUGGAAGCAGCACCUCCAGCGCGGGCAGCACCGACAGCCCCGACCACCUGCACCACAAGCAGCAGCUGCUGGCCGGCACGGGUGCUGGCACUGGCACCGGCAGCCCGGACCAUCUCCACAAGCCACGGCCCGGGCUGAUGCCUGGAGGAGAGGACUUGGGCGGGGACCGUCCGGGCCGACGUAGGAGCACCAGCCCGGAGUACGCGGCCCACACCCUGCCCCAGGUGUGUCGGCCCCGCUGCGGCUCGCUGUCCAGCCCCGAGCACCAGUUCCUCCGGGGCCUCAGCCCGGAUAGGCAGCACGGCAAGGGCCUGGCCCGGGGAAGCCCGGAGCAGUACUCCAAACACCCGCACCUGCUGGUGUCCGGCAGCCCCGAGCUCUUCAGGAAGCAGAGGGGGAGCAUGGGGAGUGUCUGCGGAAGCCCCGACACCAAGCAGGGGCUGACGGGAACGCCCGAGCACCUGCAGAAGGGACGGGUGAUAUCCGGCAGCCCCGAGUCCAUCCGGCACAAGUACAGUGCCAGCCCGGAGCACGGCAGGUUCGGCAGCCCUGGCAGGGAGAUAGUCCAGAAGAGGAAGGGAGGAGAGGAGAUGUCGCCCCAUCACCGGAGCCUCUACAAUGGCAUGAAUGGUGGGUCCGACUGGAGCCUACUGUAGCUCUGUUUUAUACAUGCAGAAAGCGAGCACGGAGCACUGUGUCUGUACAAAUAUGCAGCCUUUGGCAAAACAUGGGCAAUGAUGGACCUGGAAAAAAAGGGCCUUAUAAGAGUCUGCAGUCUUGCCAUCCAGCCAGACACUAACCCAUUGCAUUUAAAUCCAAUUUCGCUCUUAAUUGAACUCAUUUUCUUGCUCCUUUAUUUUGGAAUGGCGAGCGAGUCAAAUCAAUGAAGCUAAAUGUUUUAGUGUCUGGCUCGAGCAAAUCCUGAGCUAUGGUGCAGACCGGUGGUGUCAAGUCUUGGUCCUGGAGGGACACAAUUUUCUGCAGGCUUUCGUUGUUCAGCUUUGAACCAGCCUCUCAUUUGCAAACAUCCUGGGAUCCAUUUCUUUUUUUUUUGCGCUUUGGGGGAAAAGCCAGGAGAGGGGAACUCAUCCAGUCCAUCUGAUCAGGGACCUGAGCUAAACCAUUAUGAGGCACAACAAAGCCCGGGGACACUGCAGCCCUCCAAGACCAGGAAUGGACACCACAGUUUUUAUCAAAGGCUCCCAGCGCUGAUACCCUUGGGAUGCUGCACCACCUCAUGUAGAAGUGUCAAGUUUUGGGACAGCUUCGAUGCCUCCUGACCGCCGGCCUGAGUGGAUCCAGCUGCGGGCUCCUGACUCUGGGCGCGAUGCAGGACCCUUGUGUCUCUCUUUCAACCAACAUCCACCCAGGAAGGAAAAUAAAAGCAGAAGAUCGAGAGAAGAGAGCACAAGAGGAAAAAAAGAGAGAAAGAAAGAGAGAGAGAGAGAGAGAGAGAGAUGGAGGGUAGGGAGAAAGUGAGGGAGAGAGAGAGAAAGAAAGAAAGACCUGACUUCUGCUCCUCUCUCUGUCCUCACACUGGUGCCUGUUGGAUCAAAGCCAGUCCUCCACGUUUCUCCCCCCUCCUCCCCCCUCACACCUGCCCUGCAGAGGACCUCCUCCCCCUCACACCGGCCCUGCAGAGGACCCAGAGGUGGACGAAAAGAAGAAGGCUUGAAACUCCCCAAGAUUGCCAAAUGGAUUUCCAUCUUGCCAAAAAAAAAAACAUAAAUACAACAAGAUACGGGAAUCUCUCUAUUUGCCAACAAAAUAGUCCUACCUCCUUUAAUGAAACACAGUGUUAGUAUAUCAGAGAUCUAUGAAUGACGAAGCAGGACUCAGGAGGCUAAAUGGUCCCUUUUGUUUACAGCUGCCACCCGUGCACCCGAGUAGCGAAAGAGAGCACUGCUAACUCCCAAGCCACAAGAGCAUUCCCAGUCCUGGACGCAAUGAUACCCCUCCACCACCACCACCACCCCCUAAGACCCCAAUACACACUCUUCAGGUUCCCCCUCACUAGAACCCAAUACACACUCUUCAGGUUCCCCCUCACUAGAACCGGAACAUUCCAGAGAGAUGAGAAAACACAGACGUUUAAAAAAAAAAAAGGUCUUUUAAUUCCCAUUAGAAGGACACAAAAAAAAGGACCAGGAUGCUCUGCUUGCCCUGCUCAUCCAGUCCACGUGGACACUGUCACCCAGUUCAUCCAAACUAGCAGUAUUACAUGCAGACCUGUACCGUAGCUGUUCAUAGGAGAAAGUGCUAGAUCAAAACGUGUUGUGCACACUUGAACUAGCCCACAUGCAUACAGAAGAGUAAAAUGCACAUACAUACAUACCCGCACAUACGCACAUACAAACACACAUCGACACACAGACUUGCUCAUGUGCACUGGACACAAACCCAAGCUCACAGGAAUCUGUGCAUUCAUUAAUGUGCAUACACAACAAAAACAAAAACACACACAUACAGACAGACUUUCGCACUCACACGUACAGACACACAGAGAAACACACGCGCACUCGCGCACACACACGCACACACAGACUCACACACACACACAAGCACAUAGCUGUCACAUCUAAUGCUCUGUAGCCUCUCACGAGGGCCCAGGUUACCAUCUACAUGACUCAUAUGACCUGCUGUAAGACAUUCAGUUAAACAGUCACGGCUACUUUGUAACCUCCUUAUCCUGUGAUCUUUUUUAUUUUUCUUGACAGAUUAAGAGACAGAACUAACAUUAAUAUAAAUUAAUAUAUAUAUAUAUAUACAACUUUUAUGUUUUUGAGAAAGUAAAGAGUAGUUUAUUGCUUAGUUUUUUAAAACUAUGAUAAUUAUAACUAUUAUUUUUGACGUACCGGUAUUAUUAUAUCUAUAAUUAUUAUUAUACCAAACAGAUGUAUGUAUAAGAUAAUAAAAGUGUCUUUAUGUAAAA